AACGAACGCUGGCGGCGCGCCUAAUACAUGCAAGUCGAGCGAGAAGACGUAGCAAUACGUUUGUAAAGCGGCGAACGGGUGAGGAAUACAUGGGUAACCUACCCUCGAGUGGGGAAUAACUAGCCGAAAGGUUAGCUAAUACCGCGUACGCUCCUUGGACUUCGGUUCAGGGAGGAAAGCGAUACCGUGGGUAUCGCGCUCUUGGAUGGGCUCAUGUCCUAUCAGCUUGUUGGUGAGGUAACGGCUCACCAAGGCUUCGACGGGUAGCUGGUCUGAGAGGACGAUCAGCCACACUGGCACUGCGACACGGGCCAGACUCCUACGGGAGGCAGCAGUAAGGAAUAUUGCGCAAUGGGCGAAAGCCUGACGCAGCGACGCCGCGUGGGGGAGUGAAGGUCUUCGGA
rnacentral:rRNA from 1 species